AGCGAACGCUGGCGGCAGGCUUAACACAUGCAAGUCGAGCGGGCACUUUCGGGUGUCCGCGGCGGACGGGUGAGUAACGCGUGGGAACGUGCCCUCUGGUUCGGAAUAACUCAGGGAAACUUGAGCUAAUACCGGAUACGCCCUUUUGGGGAAAGGCUUGCUGCCGGAGGAUCGGCCCGCGUCUGAUUAGCUAGUUGGUGAGGUAACGGCUCACCAAGGCGACGAUCAGUAGCUGGUCUGAGAGGAUGAUCAGCCACACUGGGACUGAGACACGGCCCAGACUCCUACGGGAGGCAGCAGUGGGGAAUAUUGGACAAUGGGCGCAAGCCUGAUUCAGCCAUGCCGCGUGAGUGAUGAAGGCCUUAGGGUUGUAAAGCUCUUUUAUCCGGGACGAUAAUGACGGUACCGGAGGAAUAAGCCCCGGCUAACUUCGUG
rnacentral:rRNA from 1 species